ACGAAGGGUGCAAGCGUUAAUCGGAAUUACUGGGCGUAAAGGGUGCGUAGGCGGUUCGUUAAGUCUGUCGUGAAAUCCCCGGGCUCAACCUGGGAAUGGCGAUGGAUACUGGCGAUCUAGAGUGCGGUAGAGGGCAGUGGAAUUCCCGGUGUAGCAGUGAAAUGCGUAGAGAUCGGGAGGAACAUCUGUGGCGAAGGCGACUGCCUGGACCAGCACUGACACUGAGGCACGAAAGCGUGGGGAGCAAACAGGA
rnacentral:rRNA from 1 species